CCGUUUGCACCCGGCCGCGUGCCACCCUAUAUCCGCUUGUGCCGGGUUCGCCCGGCUAUGGCGAUAAAAGGCGGCGCGCAAUAGACGCAGCGGACCCGGGGGCGGUACCCGGCGGCUCCACCACUUGCGCCGCUUGGCCAGUACGCGUGACGCGUGCCGGUCGAGCGGCUCAGCUGGAGGGGCCGAACUAGGAUCGACGUGUGUUGAAAAACGCUGCUCUUCGCUCGGAAUGGGACCACCGCAACGGCCCAUUACACAAGUGCCAACGAUAACGAAGCACUCGCGAUUGCGGCGUAACUGAGGGCCUCACGGCCUAAGGUUACACCAAGAUAGCGCGGUCGGACCCCACCGGGCAACAGAAGGGGAUUCCA
rnacentral:tmRNA from 1 species